rnacentral:rRNA from 1 species
AUUGAACGCUGGCGGCAGGCCUAACACAUGCAAGUCGAACGAGUGGCGGACGGGUGAGUAGUUUCUGGGAACCUGCCCGAUGGAGGGGUCUAACUACUGGAACCGUUAGCUACUACCGCAUACCAUCGGAUGUGCCCACAUUGGAUUAGCUAGUAGGUGGGGUAACGGCUCACCUAGGCGACGCUCCCUAGCUGACCGUAGAGGAUGACCGGCAACACUGGAAAUGCGACAAGGCCCAGACUCCUACGGGAGGCAGCAGUAGGGAAUAUUGCACAAUGGGCGCAAGCCUGACCGAGCCACGCCGCGUGUAUGAAGAAGGUCUUCGGAUUGUAAAGCACUGUCAGCGAGGAAGCGUUACUCACAGAGAAAGCACCGGCUAACUACGUGCCAGCAGCCGCGGUAAUAC